CAGAGCAGGACUUGCUGAUGACUAUGGCCCAGAAUGGUCUCAGGCCAUCCAAAGUUCUUUCUGUUUAUGACAGAAAAGAGAGUCCCAUUAUCUCUAUUCUGGAAAAUAUCACUCAAAUCAUUUGUCAGUGUUCCCUUCAAAAAUCCAAAGUGGUUUGCACUCCUCUGAGUGUUUUUAUGGGUCAAACUAGAUAUAAUAAAAAGUAUUUGUUUUGUUUCAAAGGAGAUAAGUUCAAGCUAUUCAAUUCCCUCUUUCCCACAAAACCAAUCCAAUCACAUUUAAAUUUAUUAGGAAUGAGAAACACACACAUAUCUCCAUCAUCCCCUGAUUUCCCAAAGAAGGCUUUGGAGAGAGUGGAAAACAUGGGAAUGAUACUUUGAUUAUCAUUGUUAUUUCCUGGAUACAGCUGGAUUACAAGAAGCUGUGAAGUGGUUUUACUUUUUAAAAAAAUCCAACAGUUCUAGUUUUGCUGACAAGAGAAAGGUCCAACUUCCUCUCAUAGGAAAGACUUAAUCUUGUUAUAUUUCUAACCACAUUUUGGGUGGGACAGCACUAAAUAGAACAGAUAAGCAGCAAAUCUUCCAGAUGCUUACCCUGAAUAAAUCUCCAAACUUUGAAGGGACUGUCUGAGAGCUAAUCUUUUCAGUUUUAAACUUGAGUCAGCCAAUGAUGAACAAUAAAAUGGUCGGUGACUAAACAAGUACUCGCUGCUGUAUUAUCCGGGCCAUUUGCUUGAUCAUUUCCUCUGGUUAAAAACAAGUAUUUGUUCUUUCAAGUAUUUGUUUUGUUCGGGCUCCAAAAGUUAAAGAGGAAACUAUCACCCCCUAAGAGGAAGCCAAUAUCAUUUGUCACAAGUUUAAAGAUGGACAAAAGCCUGGAUGACAGCACAUCUGUUGAAAGCAUGGUUUACUGAAUAUUUUAAGCCCAUUGCUGAGAUCUAAUGCUUGGAAAAAAAUAAUUCCUUUCAGAAUAUUGCUGCUCAUUGACAAUACACUUGGUUGCCCAAGAGUUCUGAUAGACAUAUACAAAGAAAUUGAUCUUGUUUUCAUGCCUGCUAACACAAGAUCUGUCUGCAGUCCAUGGAUCAAGCAUAAUUUCAACUUCAAGUCUUAUUAUUUAAGAAAUACAUUUUGUAAGACCAUAGCUGACAUAGAUUGUAAUUCUUCUGGUGGAUCUGGGAAAAGUCAGUUAAAAUCUUCUGAAAAGGAUUCACAAUUCUAGAUGCCAAAGGGAACAUUUAUGAUUCACAGGAAGAGGUCAAAAUAUAAACAUUAACAGGAGUUUGGAAGAAGUUCAUUCCAACCCUCAUGAAUGACUUUGAGGGGUUCAAGACUUCAGUAGGGAAAGUAACUGCAGGUGUGGUGGAAAUAGCAAGAGAACCAGAAUUGGAAGUGGAUCCUGAAGAUGUAUCUGAAUUGCUGAAAUCUCAUGAUAAAACUUGAACAAAUUGGGAGUUGCUUCUUAUGGAUGAGCAAAGAAAGUGGUUUCUUGAGAUGGCAUGUCAAGAAUAUCAAGAAUAGCAUCUGGGGAAGAUGUUGUGAAUAUUGUUGAAAUAACAAUCAAGGAUUUAAACUAUUCCAUAAAGUUAGUUGAUAAAGCAGAAGCCAGUUUUGAGAGGACUGAAUCCAAUUGUAAAAGAAGUUCUACUGUGCAUAAAAUGCUGUCAAAUAGUAUCAUAUACCACACAAAAAUCUUCCAUGUAAAGAAGAGUCAAUUGAUGUGGAAAACUUCAUUGUUGCCUCUUUUUUGUUUGUUUGUUUGUUUGUUUUGAGAAGGAGUCUUGCUCUGUCGCCCAGGCUGGAGUGCAGUGGAUCGAUCUCCGCUCGCUGCAAGCUCCGCCUUCCGGGUUCACGCCAUUUUCCUGGCUCAGCCACCCAAGGAGCUGGGGACUACAGGCGCCCGCCACCACGCCCGGUUAAUUUUUUUGUAUUUUUAGUAGAGACAGGGUUUCACUAUUAGCUAGGAUGGUCUCGAUCUCCUGACCUGGUGAUCUGCCCGCCUCGGCCUCCCAAAGUGCUGGGAUUACAGGCGUGAGCCACCACACCCAGCCGCAAUUGUUGCCUUUUUUUAAGCAAUUGCCACAACCCCCACCACCCCCAACCUUCAGUAACCACCACCCUACUCAUCAGAAGUCAUCAACAUUGAGGCAACAUCCUCCACCAACAAAAAGAUUACUACUUGCUGAAGGCUCCAAUAAUUGUUAGCAUUUUUUUUUUUUGCAAUAAGGUAUUUUAAAUUAAAGUAUGUCUAUUUUUAGACAUAAUGCUAUUGAUUAUGUCUUAUAAUCAAUAAUCAACACUUAAUAGAUUACAGUAUAGUGUAAGCAUGACUUUUAAAUGCAUUGGGAAGCCAAACAAUUCAUUUGACUCUCUUUAUUGUGAUAUUUGCUUUAUUGUGAUGGUCUGGAACCAAACUUAUAAUAUUUCCAAGGUAUGCCUAUAAUUUAUUUGGGAGGUGAUCUCAGAAAAGGAUGAGUGGGGAAGUGGAGAUAUGAGAUAGGAAAAGGCAGGAAACCCAAGGGUGCAGAAUCAACAAAUUAUCACCAUGGGAUGUGAGGCAAGUACUGGUGGGGAAAAUACCUCAGAGUUGUCUCACAAUAGGUGUAAAAACAGGUAGGGUAUUUAUCCACCAAAUCCCGGCCUAUCAUUGAAUGAAAGCUGCUUCAGUCUCUCUGGCAUUUCAACUUGCCCUGCAAGUGAGCUGAGUGUGCUCUGAGCAUGCCAGAACAGACACCUUUCAGCAGAGUGCUGCAGGUGUCCACAGGAAGCAGCCUUCAGUCUGGAGAAGUGAGUGCCAAGGGUAUAAGAGCAAAAACAACAGUAUCUGCUAAAUUGCAAACAAACAGUUACAAACAUGAAUCUGAAAAUAGAUGAACUGUCAUUUGCUCAAAGGAAUAUUAUAUAACAGUUCAGAUGGACAGUGUAGCUCUACAAUAGUGAACGUCAAUAAAUUUCCAAAUAAGAUAUUGAGAAAAAAUGGAAUUUGUAUCAUAAUAAUUAAUAUAUGUAACAUUUCCAUGCAGUUUAAAAGAAUGAAAAACUAUAGCAAAUUCAGGAAGAGCAGGUGCAUUUAGAGAAUAGCAGAAAGAAAAGAAGGAAAGUUACACAAAGGACCUCAGCUUUAUUUCUGGUUUUUUGUUUUUUUAAAAAGCCAAACAUGGAAAAAUGUUAAGUAUAAAAAAUCUGGAUGUGCAUACGUGAGUAUUCAUAUUAAUAUUUUCAUAUUUUUCUCUAUAUGAUUUAUAUUGAAUAACAGAAAGUUUUAAAGAAAUGAGCUAGCUUAAAUCUAGGUUGUUCUUAUUAAAAAUCCAAGCUUCUAGAAGAAAGUGAAGUAGGUGUGAAGAAAAAUAUAAAACAUUGAUAGUAUCUGAUGUGGAAGUUUUCAAUAUUGAUUAUUUGUAAAAACAUCAUUAAUUUUGAUAGAGAAUGAUAGCAAGGAUAUGACACAUGUAAAUAACUUCUAUAAUAAAAUAGCUAUGAGGAUUAAAAAAGCAGUUGGCAAAAUAUCUUAAAAAGAUUAAGUGCUAUACAGUGUAACUAGUAUAAUUAUUACUAAAUUGCAGUGACAUUGUGAAAUGUUCCAAUGUCAGUUGUUGAAUAUUUACGGAAAUUAUUGCCUUGUCUUUUGUCAAAACAAAACAGAAUUUCCUCUUUCUCCAUAUUUUUCCUGUUAUGAUAGGAGGAUUCUGGUUUUUGAUAAAAUUUUAUGCACAUUUUAUCAUUUGGAAGUAUGAAAAGCUGAAACUUUAAAAAAGACUGAAUGUUGCUUGUGCUUUACACAUAUUCAUGGCAAGAAUGACAGUAAAAAUAUGUCUACAAAUAUCUAGUGCUUACAAUAUUCUAGCAGUGGGAUAAAUGCUUUCCAUAUAUACUCUCAUACAGUCCUUAUUACAACGUUGUUAUGGAAGUUUCUGUUUUUCUUACUUUGCAGAUGGGGAAGGUGAAACACCGCUCAGUGUAAGUGGCUUGCCCAAGAAUAUAAAGUUAGGACAUGGAGUGGCCAGGACUCGAAAUGACUGCUGUUAGCUCAUUAAAAGCCUGCACCUUUAGUCACUCUGCUGUACAUUGCCCCCCAAAAAGGAAAAAAAAAGUUAGUUAAAUUCCACUAUACAAAGCAACAAAGCAUCAAAUUUUAUUUUAAUAUUUCUCAAAAUAAAUUGGCCAUUAUUAGGUUUUUGAAAUCUUUAGGGUCAUAAGCACUCCAUUAUAAUGUUUUAUUGUAAUAAGAUUUAGUCUAUUUGUGAUAAUCCACUUUGCAAUUGCACAUUUGUAAUGUUUACAUGUUACAUUAUAUUAUGCAAGAGGGCUAAGACAAUUUAGUAUACCUGUGACUGGCAUGCACUUACUAGAACUUAAGGAGAUUCACUUUAAGAAAACCCUCCUUUGGAAUGUAUGUAUGAAUGGCGCUGCUUCUGGCAGUAUAUGUAACACUUCAGCACCUGCCAGUGUUUGACCUUGCCUACUCUUGUCAAACACAAAAAGUGUUAAUAGUCUCAGUGAGAAACCUGGCUGUCACCAUUAUGCUAGGAACAGGUUACUAGGUGUGGGACGGACACAGCACACUUGCACAGGUUUUGUAUGAGCUAGUCCUGAGCUUUGACUGCUCUCCUUGCCUCUCAUCUGAGAUCAUGACCCUUCAAGCUGUCUGGUCAAGACUCUGUUAAGAACAAAUGGUGUACUGUUUAGUCAAUUGUGUUAUGCUACUUACAAUCCAAAAAUUAUAGUAGCUUACAAUAUUUAUUCCUUUACAUGAGUGAUGCAGGUCAGCUGCAGACAUGUUGGUUACAUAGGUAACCAGAUAUGGACUUCACUGGGCUGCACUAGGUCCAGUGGGCCAUCCUUGUAUGGCUACUUGUCCCAAGAUCCAGAAUUAAGGAGUGGCCACUGCCUAGGGCAUGGUGUUCCCAUGGUAGAGGGAAAUGUUAAGGGUAAAGGGAGAAAAAUCACACAAGCUCAUUUAAAGCUUCUGUUCAGAUGCCGCUUGCCUCACAUCUACAACCGUUCCACUGACCAACCCACGUCAAAUGGCCAUGGACAAAGCUAAUGGGAUGGAAAAGUAUACUUCACCUAUGGGGAAGGUAAUACAAAAUUUGUGGCAAAGGGUAAACGUGAAUUUUUUUUUUCUUUUUCUGAGAUGGAGUCUCGCUCUGUCGCCCAGACUGGAGUGCAGUGGUGCGAUCUCGGCUCACUGCAAGCUCUGCCUGCUGGAUUCAUGCCAUUCUCCUGCCUCAGCCUCCCAAGUAGCUGGGACUACAGGUGCCCACCACCACGCCCGGCUAAUUUUUUUGUAUUUUUAGUAGAGACGGCGUUUCACCACGUUAGCCAGGCUGGCCUUGAUCUCCUGACCUCGUGAUCCACCCAUCUCGGCCUCCCAAAGUUCUGGGAUUAUAGGUGUGAGCCACUGCACCCAGUCAACAUGUAAUUUUUUAGUGGGAAAAAGGUAAUAAUUGGGAGUCAAAUAGUUCAAUUUACCACAGUAGAAAAAAUAUCAAAGGAGAAGGAAUGAGAAAUUAUAUAUAUAUAUAUAUGGGAAAUAAAUAUAUAUAUAUGCACACACUAAAUUAUAAAUAUACAAGUAUUGUAGUAAUAAAAUUUUUAAGCUAUAAAAUCAUCAAUUUCCUAAAAUCAUUGCCAUCAAGCUCAUAAUAAUAUUUAGGGAGAAAUCUCAAUGCCCCUACCUCUUGUGUUUCCACCUGGAGGGAUUUCAGCUUUUCUCAUCCCCCUUGUUCACACCUCCAGGGUAGAAGGAAUAGGUGAGUUUAGAAGCAUCUGUGAAUGCAUGACUCAUGUCCUCUGGGCUCUCGCUUCUGAAGCAUCCCUGUCUAGUGGGAUGGUAUGUUCUACUCUAUCCCUAUCCUCUUUCCAAGGUAAGAGUCUUGUCCCUGUCCAGCUGUGUUGGUGACUGGUUUGGUACAUUUUAUUUACAGAGGAAUCAUUAGAAAUAGACAAAGAAGUCUUUUCCUCAGUUGGUUCCACCUUUAGUCAGGGAAGAGGACUGUUCUUGCUGGCUCCUUCCCAAAACUGUAGUAAUAAUAGUGUUGGUAACAGCUAAUAUUAAUUAAAUACCUACCACUUAAAUACAGAAUCUCAUUCAUUGUCAUAAUGAGCCUGAAAACUGUUCAAUCAAUUUUACAGUUGAACAAACUGAGCCUCAGAAGAGUUAUGUGAUCCUCCCAAGGUCGCACAGCUAAUAAAUUGGUGGACCUGAGUUACAGUUGUAAAUAAUAUUUACCUGUAUGUUUUUUCUUCCAAGUUAUUUAUAUGAACAGGGUGUACAUAUGCAGGUUUGUUACAUGAGUGAAUUUCAUGUCGGGGGGUUUGGCCUACAGAUCAUUUUGUCACCCAGGUAAUGUGCAUGGUACCUCACAGGUAGAUUUUUUAAUCUCCUAUCUCUUCUUCCCACCCUCCACCCUCAAGUAAGCCCUAGUGUCUAUUUUUCCCUUCUUUGUGUCCAUGUAGUCAAUGUUUAGCUCUCACUUACAAGUGACAACAUGCAGUAUUUGGUUUUCUGCUCCUGCGUUAAUUAGCUUAGAAUAAUGGCCUGCAGCUUCAUGCAUGUUACUGCAAAAGAUAUGAUUUAAUUCUUAUUUAUGGCUGCAUAGUAUUCCACAGUAUAUAUGUAUCACAUUUUCUUUAUCAAGUCCACCACUUUUGGACAUUUAAGUUGACUCCAUGGUUUUGCUAUUGUAAGUAGUGCUCCAGUGAACCAUACAUGCGCAUGUAUCUUUAUGGUGGAAUGAUUUAUAUUCCUUUGGGUAUAUACCCAAUAAAGGGAUUGCCAAGUUGAAUGCUAGUUCUCAGUUCUUUGAGAAAUCUCCAAACUUCUUUUCACAGUGGCUGAACUAAUUUACAUUCCCACCAGCAGUCUAUAAGCGUUCCUUUUCUCCACAAUCUCACCAGCAUAUUUUUUUUUUACUUAAUAAUAGGCAUUCUGACUGGUGUGAGAUGAUAUCUCAUUGGGGUUUUGAUUUGCAUUUCUCUAAUGAUUAAUGAUGUUGAGCAUUUUUUUCAGAUGCUUGUUGGCCGCUUUAUAUAUGUCUUCUUUUGAGAAGUGUCUUUUCAUGCCCUUUGCCCAUUUUUUUUAAUGGGAUUGUUUGUGCUUUCUUGUUGAUUUAUGUUCCUUCUAGAAUCUGGAUAUUAGACCUUUGUUGGGUACACCGUUUGCAAAUAUUUUCUCCCAUUCUGUAGGUUGUCUGUUUUCUCUGUUGAUAGUUUCUUUUGCUGUGCAGAAGUUCUUCAAUUAGGUGCCACUUGUCAAUUUUUAGUUUUCUUGCGAUUGAUUUUGAAGUCUUCACUAUGGAAUCUUUGCCAGGGUUCAUGUCCAGAAUGGUACUUCCCAGGUUUUCUUGUACAGUUUUUAUAGCUUUAGGUUUUACAUUUAUAUCUUUAAUCCAUCUUGAGUUGAGUUUUUAAUAUGGUGAAAGUAAAUGGCCUAGUUUCAAUCUUCUACAUAUGGCUAGCCAGUUAUCCCUGCACCAUUUGUUGAAUAGGGAGUCCUAUCCCCAGAGCUUGUUGUUGUCAGCUUUGCUGAAUAUCAUAUGGUUGUAGGUGUGCAGCUUUAUUUCAGGGUUCUCUAACCUGUUCCAUUGGUUUAUGUGUCUGUUUUUGUACCAGUACCAUAAUAUUUUGGUUACUGUAGCCUUAUAGUAAAGUCAGGUAAUGUGAUGGCUCUGGCUUUAUUCUUUCAGCUGAGGAUUGUAUUGGCUAUUCAGACUUUUUUAAAAUUCCAUAUGAAUUUUAGAAUAGUUUUUUUCUAAUUAUGUGAAAAAAUGCCACUGUUAAUUUGAUUGGAAUAGCACUGAAUAUGUAAAUUGCUUUGAGUAGUAUGGCCAUUUUAACAAUAUUGAUUCUUCCUAUCCAUGAACAUGGAAUGAUUUUCCAUUUGCUUGUGCCAUCUCUGAUUCCUUUGAGCAGUGUUUUGUAAUUCUCAUCACAGAGAUCUUUCACCUCCCUGGUUAGUAUUCCUGGGUAUUUUAUUCUUUUUGUGGUUAUUGUGAAUGGGAUUAUGUUCUUUAUUUGGCUUGGAAGUUACUGAUGUAUAGAAAUGCUACUGAGUUUUGUACAUUGAUUUUAUAUCCUGAAACUUUGCUGAAGUUGUUUAUCAGAUAGCUAUAGUAUAGGAGCUUUUGGGCAGAGAUAUGGGGUUUUCUAGGUAAAGAAUCAUAUAAUCUGUGAAGAGAGGUAGUUUAACUUCCCUCUUCCUAUUUUGAUGCCUUUUAUACCUCUUUCUUGCCUGAUUGUUGUGGUAGGACUUCCAGUACUAUGUGGAAUAGGAGUAGUAAGAGUGGGCAUCCUUGUCUUGCUUCGGUUCUCAAGAGGAAUUCUUUCAGAUUUUGUGCACUCAGUAUAUGUUGGCUGUGGGUUUGUCAAACAUGACUCUUAAUUUGAGAUAUGUUCCUUUGAUGCUUAGUUUGUUGAGGGUUUUUAAAAUGAUGGCAUGUUGAAUUUUCUCAAAAGCCUUUUCCACAUCUAUUAAGAUAAUCACAUGGUUUUUGUUUUUAGUUCUGUUUAUGUGAUGAAUCACAUUGAUUAAUUUGUGUAUGUUGAACCAACCUUGAAUCCCAAAAGGAAUCCACCACUUGAUCAUGGUGGAUUAGCUUUUAGAUGUGCUGCUGGAUUCAGUUUGUUAGUAUUUUGUUCAGGAUUUGGCAUCUAUGUUCAUCAGGGAUAUUGGCCUGAAGUUUCUUUUUUUCAUUGUGUCUCUGAUAGGUUUGGGUAUCAGAAUGAUGCUGGUCUCAUACGAUGAGUUAGAGUCCCUCCUCCUCAGUUUUUGGACUAGGUUUUGUAGGAAUGGUACCAGCUCUUCUUUAUGCAUCUGGUAGGAUUCAGCUGUGAAUAUGUCUGGUCCAGGGCUUUUUCUGUUUGGUAGGUUUUUUAAUUACUGAUUCUAUUUCUGAAUCCAUUAAUGGUCUGUUCAGGAUUUCAAUUUCUUCCUAGUUCAAUCUUAGGAUGUUGUAUGUUUCCAGGCAUUUAUCCAUUUCUCCUAGGUUUUCUAGUUUGUGUGUAUAGAAGUGUUUGUAAUAGUCUCAGGGGCAUUUUGUAUUUCUGUGGGGUCAGUGGUAAUGUCCCCUUUAUUAUUUCUGAUUGUAUCUAUUUGGCUUUUCUCCUUUUUCCUUUAUUAUUCUAGCUAGUUGUCUAUCAAUCAAUUUUAUUUAUUCUUUCAAAAAAGACACUUCUGGUUUUGUUUCUCUUUUGUGUGUUUUUUCUCAUUUCCAUUUCAUUCAUUUCAGCUCUGAUUUUCAUUAUGUUUUUCUGCUAGCUUUGAGGUUGGUUUGCUUUUGUUUUUCUAGCUCCUCUAGGUGUGAGGUUAGGUUGCUAAUUUGAGAUCUUUCUAACUAACUUUUUAAUGUGUGCAUUUAGUGCUAUAAGUUUUUCUCUUAACACUCCUUUAGCUGUGUCCCAGAGAUUCUGGUAUGUUGUAUCUUUGAAACUGAUAAAAGUUUCAAAGAAUUUCUUGAUUUCUGCCUUAAUUUCAUUGUUUACCCAAAAGUCAUUCAGUAGGAGGUUAAUUUCCAUGUAAUUGUAUGGUUUUGAGAGUUCCUCUCAGUAUUGAUUUCUAUUUUCUUUGUGCUGUGGUCCGAGAGUGUGGUUGUUUUGAGUUUUUUGAGAAUUGCUUUAUGGCCAAGCAUGUGGUUGAUUUUGGAAUAUGUGCCAUGUACAGAUAAGAAGAAUGUAUAUUCUAUUGCUGUUGGGUGGAGUGUUCUGUAGAUGUCUAUUAGAUACAUUUGGUCAAGUGUAGAGUUUAGGUCUCAAAUAUCUUUGUUAGUUUUGUGCCCUGAUGAUCUAAUACUGUCAGUGGGGUUUUGAAGUCUCCCAUUAUUAUUGUAUGGUUAUCUAAGCCCCUUCAUAGGUCUCUACGAACUUCUUAUUUUAUGAAUUUGAGUCCUCCUAUGUUGGGUGCAUAUAUAUUUAGGAUAGUUAAGUCUUCCUGUUGAAUUAAACACUUUAUCAUUAUGUAAUGCCCUUCUUUGUCCUUUUUGAUCAUUGUUGAUUUAAAGUCUAUUUUGUCUGAAAUAAGACUAGUAACCCCUGCUCUUUUUUGUUUUUUGUUUUCUUGAUAGAUCUUUCUCUGUCCCUUUACUUUGAGCCUAUGGUUGUCACUGCAGGUGAGAUGGGUCUCUUGAAAACAGCAUAAAGUUGGGUCUUGCUUCUUUAUCCAACUUGUCACUCUGUGCCUUUUAAGUGGAGUACUUAGCCCUUUUAUGUUCAAAGUUAGUAUGGAUAUGUGUAGAUUUGAUGCUGUCAUCAUGUUGUUAACUUGUCGUUAUGUAGACUUGAUUGUGUAGUUGCUUUAUAGUGUCAAUAGUCUAUGUACUUAAGUGUGCUUUUGUUUUGGUUGGUAAUGAUCUUCCAUUUCCAUGUUUAGCACUUCCUUAUGGACCUCUUGUAAGUAGGUCUCGUGAUAACAAAUUCCCUUAGUAUUUGCUUGUCUAAAAAUAAUUUUAUUUCUCCUUUGCUUAUGAAGCUUAGCUUGACUGGCUAUAAAAUUCUUGGUUGGAAAUUCUUUAAGGAUGCUGAAUAUAGGCCCACAAUCUCUUCUGGCUUGUUGGAUUUCUGCUGAAAGGUCCACUGUUAACCUAAAGGGGUUCCCUUUAUAGGUUACCUGCACCUUCUCUCUAACUGUCUUUAAUAUUUUUUCUUUCACAUUGGCCUUGGAGAGUCUGAUGACUAUGUGUCUUGGGGAUGGUCAUUGUGUAUUGUAUCUUUCAGGGGUUCUCUGAAUUUCUUGAAUGUAAAUGUCAACUUCUCUAGCAAGAUUGGGGAAAUUUUUGUGGACAAUAUCCUCAAGUAUAUUUUCCAAGUUGCUUGCUGUUUCUCCCUCUCUUUCAGGGACACCAAUGAGUCAUAGGUUUGGUCUUUUUACAUAAUCUUAUAUUUUUCAGAGGUUUUGUUCAUUUUUAUUUAUUCUUUUUUCUUUAUUUUUGUCUGAGUUGAUUCAAAGCAUCAGUAUUUGAGCUCUGAAAUUCUUUCCACAGCUUGGUCUAUCCUGUUGUUAAUACUUGGGAUUAGAUAAUAAAAUUCUUGUAGUGAGUCUUUCAGCUCUAUCAGAUCCAUAUGGUUCUUUCUUAAAAUAGCUAUUUUUGUCUUUCAUCUCUUGAAUCAUUUUAGUGGAUCCCUUAGAUUCCUUAGAUUGCAUUUCAACUUUCUCCUGAAUCUCAAUGAGAUUUAUUGCCAUCUAGAUUCUGAAUCCUAUGUUUGUCAUUUCAGCCAUUCCGCUCUGGUUAAGAACCAUUGCUGGGAAGCUAGUACAGACCUGAGUUUCAAUGCCAGGCAUAUUGGAAGCCAAACUGUACAACACUGUUCUGGCCCCUUCUGCCUUUGUGUGCAAUAGCAAUGCUCAAGAUAGGGAGAAGCCCAGGAAAGGAGAGAUAAGGCCGAGUGUCUGAAAUGUCAGGUAUUUUUAUUGUCUUGAUUUCUUUGUUACACAGUAAAUUGUUAAUAACUUAGACUUUUUAACCAUAGAGGUUUGACAUCUUUAUGUGAAUUUUGGAAAUGUAUUAGUAUGUCUCUAAAGUGGCAUAAUUCUGAUUAUUAAAACCUACUAAUUUAUUAAUAUAUCAUUAAUUUCAUUAGAAGACAAUGCUAAGAUGGAGUUUAACUCAAAGAAAUUUUCAUUAGUACAAAUUUUACAAAUAUAUCUCUAUUCUGAUACAAAGAUCUACCAGUACAGAGAGGGAUAAUGACCUUUUUGUGGGAUUUAGGAGACCCACCUGGGUCUUAUAAAGUUUUCUGUAAUGCUUACGCCCUUUAACUAUUGACUAUUGACCAAUUAUGGUAAUUGAAGAUGUGACUUCUAUCAAUAUAAUUAUAAGAUUUUUGGAUAUAGCUAAAGAUUUAAAAAAAUUUUAACAGUGACAGAUGAUGAUAUUUUUGUCCUUUACCUGAUAUUUAUGUAUCUUUUUAGGCUUGUUUUAAUUUUCAUGAUAAUAUGGUACCAUGUCUUUUUCUUUGAACCCUGAGAUUAAUAAACUGUAUUCCUGGAGACUUCCUAUUCACAUAAGUGCUAUUAUCUCAAAAUCUUGAUAUAAGAAAACAUCACAAGCCUCAAUUCCUUCCUGCCCUUUUCUUCGUGUUACUUGUCAAACUGUUAUUGGAAAUGAGUCUCUGACCUUUUUUUCUCCCACACAAUUUCUAAUAAAGAUGCUGCCACACGGCCGUAUCCUAGUAACUAGGUUUUAUGCUGAGAAAGACUAUUAAGAAAGAGUCCAAGAUAGGGCUAAUUUCGACCACGAGUAAAGGUAAUUUGCUAGUCUUGUUCUUUUUCUUGAUUUCUUUAAUUUAGAUGAAUAACAGAGCUAACCUUAAUGUUCCUUCUGAUAAAAAUACUGUCCUAUAGACCCAAAUUAGCAUAUUUGCUUUUGAUUACCUUGCAAAACUCUAUUUGCUCUCUUUUCUUAAAAGCUUAAUAAUUCAUAUAAGGCUUCAGAGGAAUAAAAUCACUAUGUGUGGGUGAAAAAUCCUAACUUCCCUGCUGAGGUUCAAUGGCAGCCUUCAAAGAAUUUUUUAAAUAAAUAAUGGAAAGAGAUACUCCAUCUUGCCUCUGAAC